rnacentral:rRNA from 1 species
CCUACGGGGUGCAGCAGUGAGGAAUAUUGGUCAAUGGACGAGAGUCUGAACCAGCCAAGUAGCGUGAAGGAUGACUGCCCUAUGGGUUGUAAACUUCUUUUAUAUGGGAAUAAAACGUUCCACGUGUGGGAUUUUGUAUGUACCAUAUGAAUAAGGAUCGGCGAACUCAGUGCCAGCAGCCGCGGUAAUACGGAGGAUCCGAGCGUUAUCCGGAUUUAUUGGGUUUAAAGGGAGCGUAGGUGGAUUGUUAAGUCAGUUGUGAAAGUUUGCGGCUCAACCGUAAAAUUGCAGUUGAAACUGGCAGUCUUGAGUACAGUAGAGGUGGGCGGAAUUCGUGGUGUAGCGGUGAAAUGCUUAGAUAUCACGAAGAACUCCGAUUGCGAAGGCAGUUCACUGGACUGCAACUGACACUGAGGCUCGAAAGUGUGGGUAUCAAACAGGAUUAGAUACCCCUGUAGUC